rnacentral:rRNA from 1 species
GAUUAAGCCAUGCAUGUGUAAGUGUAAAUAGUAAAGAGUGGAACUGCGAAUGGCUCAUUAUAUCAGUUAUAGUUUAUUUGAUGAACGAUACUAAUGGAUAACCGUAGUAAUUCUAGAGCUAAUACAUGAAUGAUAAAUCCAAAUGGAUAUGUUUAUUAGUUUGACCACAAAUGUGGUGAGUAAUAAUAAUGAAUGAAAUCGCAUGCUUGAUAAGUAGCGAUGGAUCAUUUAAGUUUCUGCCCUAUCAGCUGUGUUGGUAGUGUAUUGGACUACCAUG